rnacentral:rRNA from 1 species
CAGUAGCCACGGUAAUACGUAGGUGGCAAGCGUUGUCCGGAAUUAUUGGGCGUAAAGCGCGCGCAGGUGGUUCCUUAAGUCUGAUGUGAAAGCCCACGGCUCAACCGUGGAGGGUCAUUGGAAACUGGGGGACUUGAGUGCAGAAGAGGAAAGUGGAAUUCCAAGUGUAGCGGUGAAAUGCGUAGAUAUUUGGAGGAACACCAGUGGCGAAGGCGACUUUCUGGUCUGUAACUGACACUGAGGCGCGAAAGCGUGGGGAGCAAACAGGAUUAGAUACCCCCGUAGUCCCUGUCUCUUAUAU